ACCUCCCUGCAGUGCUCGCGAUUGCCAUAUAUUCCUAGAACCAUUUAUGUGCAUCGGCCGCGGAAUAUUGUUUGGUGGGUGUGCACGUCGCUAGUCCGAUGAGCCCGAUAUUGAACUGACUGCAGCCACCUUGAACCGGUUGGUUCGGGAUGCCGGCAAAGCGGCACCAGCGGGGAUUUU
rnacentral:other from 2 species